rnacentral:rRNA from 1 species
AUUGAACGCUGGCGGCAGGCUUAACACAUGCAAGUCGAGCGAGCGGCGGACGGGUGAGUAAUGUCUGGGACACUGCCUGAUGGAGGGGGAUAACUACUGGAAACGGUAGCUAAUACCGCAUACCAUCAGAUGUGCCCAGAUGGGAUUAGCUAGUAGGUGGGGUAAUGGCUCACCUAGGCGACGAUCCCUAGCUGGGCUGAGAGGAUGACCAGCCACACUGGAACUGAGACACGGUCAAGGCGCCUACGGUAGGCAGCAGUGGGGAAUAUUGCACAAUGGUGGCAAGCCUGAUGCAGCCAUGCCGAGUGUGUGAAGAAGGCCUCCGGGUUGGAAAGCCCUUUCAGGGAGGAGGCGUUACUCGCAGAAGAAGCACCGGCUAACUCCGUGCCAGCAGCCGCGGUAAUAC